GUUACGAUUUGAUGCAAGGUUAAGCAGUAAAUGUGGAGCCGUAGCGAAAGCGAGUCUGAAUAGGGCGUUUAGUAUUUGGUCGUAGACCCGAAACCAGGUGAUCUACCCUUGGUCAGGUUGAAGUUCAGGUAACACUGAAUGGAGGACCGAACCGACUUACGUUGAAAAGUGAGCGGAUGAACUGAGGGUAGCGGAGAAAUUCCAAUCGAACCUGGAGAUAGCUGGUUCUCUCCGAAAUAGCUUUAGGGCUAGCCUCAAGUGAUGAUUAUUGGAGGUAGAGCACUGUUUGGACGAGGGGCCCCUCUCGGGUUACCGAAUUCAGACAAACUCCGAAUGCCAAUUAAUUUAACUUGGGAGUCAGAACAUGGGUGAUAAGGUCCGUGUUCGAAAGGGAAACAGCCCAGACCACCAGCUAAGGUCCCAAAAUAUAUGUUAAGUGGAAAAGGAUGUGGCGUUGCCCAGACAACUAGGAUGUUGGCUUAGAAGCAGCCAUCAUUUAAAGAGUGCGUAAUAGCUCACUAGUCGAGUGACACUGCGCCGAAAAUGUACCGGGGCUAAACAUAUUACCGAAGCUGUGGAUUGUCCUUUGGACAAUGGUAGGAGAGCGUUCUAAGGGCGUUGAAGCAUGAUCGUAAGGACAUGUGGAGCGCUUAGAAGUGAGAAUGCCGGUGUGAGUAGCGAAAGACGGGUGAGAAUCCCGUCCACCGAUUGACUAAGGUUUCCAGAGGAAGGCUCGUCCGCUCUGGGUUAGUCGGGUCCUAAGCUGAGGCCGACAGGCGUAGGCGAUGGAUAACAGGUUGAUAUUCCUGUACCACCUAUAAUCGUUUUAAUCGAUGGGGGGACGCAGUAGGAUAGGCGAAGCGUGCGAUUGGAUUGCACGUCUAAGCAGUAAGGCUGAGUAUUAGGCAAAUCCGGUACUCGUUAAGGCUGAGCUGUGAUGGGGAGAAGACAUUGAGUCUUCGAGUCGUUGAUUUCACACUGCCGAGAAAAGCCUCUAGAUAGAAAAUAGGUGCCCGUACCGCAAACCGACACAGGUAGUCAAGAUGAGAAUUCUAAGGUGAGCGAGCGAACUCUCGUUAAGGAACUCGGCAAAAUGACCCCGUAACUUCGGGAGAAGGGGUGCUCUUUAGGGUUAACGCCCAGAAGAGCCGCAGUGAAUAGGCCCAAGCGACUGUUUAUCAAAAACACAGGUCUCUGCUAAACCGUAAGGUGAUGUAUAGGGGCUGACGCCUGCCCGGUGCUGGAAGGUUAAGAGGAGUGGUUAGCUUCUGCGAAGCUACGAAUCGAAGCCCCAGUAAACGGCGGCCGUAACUAUAACGGUCCUAAGGUAGCGAAAUUCCUUGUCGGGUAAGUUCCGACCCGCACGAAAGGCGUAACGAUUUGGGCACUGUCUCAACGAGAGACUCGGUGAAAUCAUAGUACCUGUGAAGAUGCAGGUUACCCGCGACAGGACGGAAAGACCCCGUGGAGCUUUACUGUAGCCUGAUAUUGAAAUUCGGCACAGCUUGUACAGGAUAGGUAGGAGCCUUUGAAACGUGAGCGCUAGCUUACGUGGAGGCGCUGGUGGGAUACUACCCUAGCUGUGUUGGCUUUCUAACCCGCACCACUUAUCGUGGUGGGAGACAGUGUCA
rnacentral:rRNA from 1 species